UCUCUCUCUCUCUCUCUCUCUCUCUCUCUCUCUCUGAUAUAAUUCUCCGUCGAUGCACCUUUUUUCGAACCACUUGAAAGAAUCCAUAAGAAACCCGCUGCCAUUGACCCAGGUAUAGUAGAUGCUUCCAUCGGUUUCUUCUUUCUUCUACGGCCGUAUAACCAAGUUUGCUGAAUUGUUGGGUGGGUUCUGCACUUCUGCCGACACAGAGUGGGAAGAAAGAAAAGAAGAGAUUGAGAGGGUUCUGCCGCCUCCUCUCUGUUCUUUCUUACGAAUUGCCCCUGCCUCCUCUUUUGCGUAAUUACCCAGUCCAGGUGUUGGUAGCCUAUCGAAAGGUGAGAGAGAGGCGGAGAGCGACAGAGGAAGCCUCUGUUUCUUUCUCUUUUCUUCUGCAGCUUUUAAGUUUUGAGCUGCUUAACCAAAACAGAGCUCGCAGCGAUGAAGACCGAAACCACGGCAUUUCAAAUCGACCUGGUUAAUCCCAUGGCUGUUGACCUUCAUCAUCAAUUUCCCUCCAACCCUUCUUCAAGGGAUUCAGGAAGGUUGAUCCAAACUGGUGGGAGUUUGCAAACGAGUGGUUCCUAAGGGGCAGACACAUUUAUUGAGAAAUGUUGUGAGGAGAAAACGCAACAAUAACUUUCCCUCUCAGAAUUGAUGUUCUGGAUUUCUGUUUCAGGGUUGGACCUGAUUCUCAAGUUUGCAGCUUUAUAAUCCCAAAAGCCAGAAGAGAUUUAGGGCUUGACGUAGUUUAAAAACCAUGGGAGAAGAUGACGUGUACACAAAAGAUUGGAGGGUUGAAUCCAUUCCAGAUGAGUUUCUCAAAUUUUGAUUUGUUUUUAGUCUUUCCCCGUUCUCUUCUUUUUACUAAAACCUGUCUUCUUACUAAAACAUGUCUUCAUUUGUUUGUGUACAGCUCCUUGCUUUCUCUGGCUCACGCCUACUUAACAGUAAUCGACCCAGAUGAUUUAUAUGAUCUGUUACAUAUGCCAAUGUAAUUCAUACGUGAUCUGUGUGAUAUAGUAUUGUGUAAUGAUUACAUCAGUUUAAAUGGUUAUUUGUAGUUGGAGUAACCGUAUCGGAAGUGCUUAGUGAGGGUGCACUUACUAUUCUUAGUUUCUUAUUCUUUCCUGUUGUUUGAAUUGUACUUAAUUAUCUCAAUUAUUUCUGCACGAUCAAAUUGAUUUUCCACGGUGAUUUCUACUCAAUGUUAAUGAUCUGUAUUUCUUAUCAA